UAAAUAUUAGCCGGCAGCGGGAUCCUGUCUGUGUGGAGUUUGCACGUUCUCCUCGUACCUGCGCGGGUUCCCUCUGGACACGCCGGCUUCCUCCAGCAGUCCAAAGACAUUACGGCUAAUUGGUGACCCCAAAUUGCCGAUUAUAAUCAUGAAGUGGAUUUCCUUCUAUUUGCCUUGUUAUAAGAAGUCCCUGCACCGAGACUAAGAACAUUGUUCACUGGAUGUUGCGUCAAUCUCCGGUCACAAGCCGCACAGAGCACUCAAGGCCCAUAUCCUCCCCGGACAGUCGGAGCGCACCCAGACUGCAGGGGGCGACGAUGCGGCUAAUGGUGAUUCCACCCACAGGAAGUGCCUGCGUACGAACAGGAAGCGCAUGGCAUAAAAUGUUUGUGGAGAGCUCAGAUGGCCCUCUCACUCGGCCCUGAGGAAAAGGACACUGUGGCCACAGCUCCUAAUCUCCCAGA
ensembl:lncRNA